rnacentral:rRNA from 1 species
CCAUUGGGCGGUCUAUCAUGCAGUCGAGCGACGGACGAGAGUGCUUGCACUCUCUGAUGUUAGCGGCGGACGGGUGAGUAACACGUGGGUAACCUACCUAUAAGACUGGGAUAACUUCGGGAAACCGGAGCUAAUACCGGAUAAUAUUUAGCUUCGCAUGAAGCAAUAGUGAAAGACGGUUCUGCUGUCACUUAUAGAUGGACCCGCGGUGUAUUAGCUAGUUGGUGAGGUAACGGCUCACCAAGGCAACGAUACAUAGCCGACCUGAGAGGGUGAUCGGCCACACUGGGACUGAGACACGGCCCAGACUCCUACGGGAGGCAGCAGUAGGGAAUCUUCCGCAAUGGACGAAAGUCUGACGGAGCAACGCCGCGUGAGUGAAGAAGGUUUUCGGAUCGUAAAACUCUGUUGUAAGGGAAGAACAAGUACGUUAGUAACUGAACGUACCUUGACGGUACCUUACCAGAAAGCCACGGCUAACUACGUGCCAGCAGCCGCGGUAAUACGUAGGUGGCAAGCGUUAUCCGGAAUUAUUGGGCGUAAAGCGCGCGUAGGCGGUCUCUUAAGUCUGAUGUGAAAGCCCCCGGCUCAACCGGGGAGGGUCAUUGGAAACUGGGAGACUUGAGUGCAGAAGAGGAGAGUGGAAUUCCAUGUGUAGCGGUGAAAUGCGCAGAGAUAUGGAGGAACACCAGUGGCGAAGGCGGCUCUCUGGUCUGUAACUGACGCUGAGGUGCGAAAGCGUGGGGAUCAAACAGGAUUAGAUACCCUGGUAGUCCACGCCGUAAACGAUGAGUGCUAAGUGUUGGGGGGUUUCCGCCCCUCAGUGCUGCAGCUAACGCAUUAAGCACUCCGCCUGGGGAGUACGGUCGCAAGACUGAAACUCAAAGGGAAUUGACGGGGACCCGCACAAGCGGUGGAGCAUGUGGUUUAAUUCGAAGCAACGCGAGAACCUUACCAAAUCUUGACAUCCCUUUGACAACUCUAGAGAUAGAGCUUUCCCCUUCGGGGACAAAGUGACAGUGAUGCAUGAUGGUCGUCAGCUCGUGUCCGUGGAGAAUGUUAGGCUUAAGGUCCCGCAACGAGCGCAACGCUUAUAGUCUUUAAGUGGCCAAUCAUUUAAGUUGGUCACCUCUCUA